UCCUCCAGCCACCUGUGUUCCUCAGCCACCCCUCAUGUCCCCAAGCCACCUCUCGUGUCCUCCAGCCACCUCGUGUCCCUCAGCCACCCCUCAUGUCCUCCAGCCACCCCUUGUGUCCCCUAGCCACGUCUUGUGUCCUCCAGCCACCCCUCACGUACCCCAGACGACCCCAAUGGCUCCCACCUACUCCCAGUGACCACCAGCCACCCCAACUGGUCCCUCCUCCUCCCUCAUGACCUCCACGGGGUUGGCACCUCUGUCCCUCUUUGUCCCUCCUACCAGGCCCAGCCCUGAGCCCCCUCCUACCCUCAGGUGUGAUGAGCUGGUGAGGGCUCAGCCCCUCCUGCCCUGUCCCUGGGUCUGCAGCAUCUUUGGCUCUUCGGGGCUCCUCUGCGCCCACCUCUGCUCUCCACAUCCCCCCCCCAACCACAGGGCAGGCAUAACCGGCCCCCACCUCCCCUCUCGCCUCCUCCAGAAGAUGCUGAUUUUGGCAGCAGUAGUGGUGCUCUUGCUGGCGAUAGUUGCGCUCAUCAUCGGACUUUCUGUGGGGUUAAACAAGAAAUAACCCUCGAAGUGGGGGCUGUGGUCUAUGCUUCUGACCAUCCCAGCGGCGACGUCUCCCAGUGGGACCCUCCCCAGCACCACGGCCUGGCCCCCUCCUCUCCCCACUUCUCCCAGACCCACUGUCCUUACUCCUGGCAUUCCAGCUCCCACCCUGGACUCCAGCUCCGCACCACCGCCCCCCCUUCACGGAGGGACCCCAACACCAGACUCCUCUCUCACACCAAACCAUCCCCUGCGACCCUCCAGUCCCCUGGGGUCUGCCCCUCUUGUCCUCAUGUCCCCUGCGGGAACAGGACUAUUUAUUUUCCUUUUACUGAUAAAUGAACUUCUCCCGGCCCCCCAAAUCUUGCUGGGGGGAGCGAGGGGCCCACAGUGGCACCACUGGGAUGUGGCAACCAGUGCCACAGCUCCAGCGAGAGGAGACAAGGUGCCGCACUCGGAGCAGGCCAGGGCUGGACCCUCCCCUGCGUGGGGACAAGGGACACGGUCAGGUGGGGGGUUUUAGCGGCACCAGCAGCCGCCAGCAGGUCUGGCCACGCUUUGCUGCUCACAGUGUCGCAGCAGACUGAGCUACCGGGGACCCCUGUCCCCUCCUGGCCUUGAUGUCUGCGGCUGGCACGUCCUCCCCGACGUCGUGGGGAGCUGGGGCGGGAGGAGGCGGCAGUCGUGGUUAUUUAAUUGCCAUUAUAAUAAAGAUCCCCGCUGACGCCCGCCCUGCGCCUCUCCUCUCCGUGUGCAAUGCAAUGCCGGGGUGCUGCGGGUACAAGUGGGGUGCUGGCACCCCCAAACACCCGAAACAGGGGUUGAGCAUGGCUCUGGCUCAGCUCAUGGCAGCUGCGGCAUCGUGGCUGGGCUGGCAGGUUUAGCUGAGGGGUCUGGGAUCAGCCUCUGUUUUGGGGGUGAUGCAGCCCCUUGGGGCGAUAUGACAGGGGAGCACGGGGCUGGGAACACCCACCAAGCCCCACAGAUUCCACCAGGCUGGGCCAGACCAUUGUCCCCUCUGCGAUUUUGGAAGAAGAUCUUGAUCAUGAUAUGCUGCAUCAUCCUCAUCAUCAUCUUGGCUGCCAGCAUUGGGAGCAUCUUCGCCUGAGACUCCCCCACCUGGUGCCCUCCAGGUGGCCUUUCCCCCUCCUGCCCCGGCAUCGCCCGGAUGAUCCCGCCUGCGGCUCCGGCCAUCGGAGAGACCCUGACCGCCAGCUCCCGGGACCCUCCUGCCAAGCCCUCGGUCCCCGGAGCCCCCAAGGACAUCCCUCGCCUACCUGGAGGAGUGGAGACCACCUGCCCCACUCCCCAAUUCCCUCCCACCAACGCCCCAAAUUCCCCACUUGCUCCCCAUCCUCUGUUUGGCCGACAGUCAGCAGCCUCUGCAUCAAAGCAGCCCCCUCCUCGGCAGCACAGAGCGUCCGCGUUCCUCCCCGGGGCAGCGUGCGGGUGAUGUAGAGGACUGCCUCGCUCGGGGUAGAAGGAGGAACCUUUCCCCUCACUCAAGAGCUCAUCUGCGGCAACUUCUUCACCUCGCCGGCUCUUCGGAUGCGCAGCCGCCUCCGCCGGAAUCUUCCUCCUCAAUAAAGAGAUCCCCCACGCUCUGCUGCGGGGUUCUGCAUGUCUCAGCGGUGGGAAACAAGCCCUGCUGCGUUCAUCACCUCCGGGAUGCUCCUGGCACUGUGUUUGCACCUCC